UCGGAUUGUAGUCUGCAACCCGACUACAUGAAGCUGGAAUCGCUAGUAAUCGCGAAUCAGAAUGUCGCGGUGAAUACGUUCCCGGGUCUUGUACACACCGCCCGUCACACCAUGGGAGUCGGAAAUGCCCGAAGUCAGUGACCCAACCGUAAGGAGGGAGCUGCCGAAGGUGGAGCCGGUAACUGGGGUGAAGUCGUAACAAGGUACC
rnacentral:rRNA from 1 species